rnacentral:lncRNA from 1 species
CAUAUUUGAUAAUUUAAACAUUAUACAUUCUACAGUUGCCCAUAAUAAGUAAAUAUGCAGAUGUGCUAAGUAUUUGCUUGGCGAUUUGUAUUGCUGCCACCUGAUCAUAUUCUCACAUCCACCGAAUAAAGCAGGCUCACUUUACACAUCACAUGCUGAAACAAAAAAUUUUGAUCAAAAACUUAUAAAGGAAUAAAAUUUUGCCAACAAGUUAAAAGGAAGAUCUUGGUAUAUAAAUAAACGAAAGGUCUGAUUCUUCUUACAAAUAAAUCUGUUACUUGAUCCAACAAUAGCAUUGAACUGAAGUUGUUAGAUACUCGUAUGAAUAAAAGCUAAAGUACAAAGCUAUUUCCUUGGAUAUCAUCACAACACUUACAUCCACAAACUAUUUACUUGAUAGCAUAAAUUCUUGCCAUAUAUUCAUGAAAAUCAUAAUGUAACUAAUAAAUCAUAAGUUAAACACUAUAAGCUUUCUAAUAUUUAGAAUAAAACAAAUAAAUUAUAAGUUGUAAUUUAUCCUAAUGAUUAACAAACUUGCAUCAAAACUGAAGGCUAAUAACACUAGGAAAUUGAAGCAGAAGAAAUGAACUGAAUAAAAUAGGAAUGGUCUGAUAGGAGUAGUUAGUUAAACAAACCAAGCAUGUUAAAAUCUGUUGGAUCCAACUUCAAACAAAAGAAGCAACAAAUUAAAACGCGCAAAACUUUUUCUAAGGCAUGAAUUCCACUAGUAUCUAUAUUAUCAGUAAAAACUACAAGAGAAUAUAUCACAAAUUACUCUUAGUUACUUAAUGUAACCUGGAGAAAAGAUGUGAAAAGAUUUAGGAGAUGAGUUAACAAGCAUCACUUACCACUCAAUGCCAUCAUAACAACAUAUCAAUCUGUUAAACCAAAAUAUGCAUAAAUUAGCAUUCAAUCAAUUUGGCUUCAUCAAAGUUUUUGUCCCUAGAAUUACUCCACAGUAAGAGAUCCUCUUAUGGGAACACAUACCAAUGCAAGAUAUAAAAAAUAAGGUGAAUCAAAUGUGAAUACCAUUUCUGAACAUAGCUUUAAACCAAAUAUGAAUACCAUCUCUAAACAUACCUAUAAAUGAAAUAAAUAAGCACUACUUAAAGAUGCAAUAUUGUUACCUUUAGAUAAAACACCAUAUUGAAUAAAAAAUUUAUUCGAAUUUAUAUGCAUUUGUUGCUAAAUAAGUAGCAGUAUUUGCCUCGACUACAUCAUCAAUUAGAUGGUCUGUAGCUAGCUAUAUCCCAACUCUUAGUAUGGCUCAUUCUCAUGACCUUCAUCUUUCACAACUUCUUCUGUAUCAUAUAAAUCUCUUAGCUUUAGGUUUACUAAAAAUACUUCAUCUUUAAUUGAAAACAUCAUCUACACAGUACACCAUAUUUAUGCUUGAAAUACUUCGAUGUAAGGCUCAUAUUCUUCACCCUCAAUCUCGAAUAAUUAUAUAGAAAGUUGGAGUUCAUUUUCUUUUUUCCAAAUAAAUAAAACAUUAGUAGCAUACAAAUAAUUUACCUGCCUAAUGAUCUUUGUAUGCUAGAAUUAUUCAAAUUUGAAGGCAUAUAUAAAAUAUGCUCAAACACUUAUGCGAGCCGUACAUAAACUAGUUUUUACAACAAAAUGAGUCAACUUACCUGAUAGCGGGUUUGAAGUUACACCAUGUCCAGUACUCUUAGAAACGCGCACAUCUGCAAUAAUGAUAUGAUGCAAGACAUAUUACUAGAGGAAGUUUUUAUUUGCAGUAAUUCAUUUUCUAAGGAAAGUGAAAAACUAAACUAUUAAAGUAUGAGCUAGAGAAGGAAAAAUUUGUCACCAUAGCAAGUAAAAUAUAUGCAUUCAUUAAAGACCUUGUACUGUCUUGAUAUUCCUCAAUAUAGAAGUGAGAAAAAUAUUAGGAAGUUCCCUGAUUGAAUAAUCGACAGAAUAAAAUGCAUUUAUGCUCUCCCAUCAACACCAGCUCUAAUGUGAUUAGGGGUAAGGCAUGGGCCUUAGGCCCGC